GAUGAACGCUGGCGGCGUGCCUAAUACAUGCAAGUCGAGCGAACUGACGAUAAGCUUGCUUCUCUGAUGUUAGCGGCGGACGGGUGAUUAACACGUGUAUAACCUACCUAUAAUACUGGUAUAACUUCGGGAAACCGGAGCUAAUACCGUAUAAUAUUUUGAACCGCAUUGUUCAAAAGUGAAAUACGUUCUUUCUGUCACUUAUAGAUGUAUCCGCGCUGCAUUAGCUAGUUGGUAAGGUAACGGCUUACCAAGGCAACGAUGCAUAUCCGACAUGAGAGGGUGAUCGGCGACACUGGAACUGAGACACGGUCCAGACUCCUAAGGGAGGAAGCAGUAGGGAAUAUUGCGCAAUGGGCGAAAGCAUGACGGAGCAACGCCGCGUGAGUGAUGAAGGUCUUCGGAUCGUAAAACUCUGUUAUUAGGGAAGAACAUAUGUGUAAGUAACUGUGCACAUCUUGACGGUACCUAAUCAGAAAGCAACGGCUAACUACGUG
rnacentral:rRNA from 1 species